AUUCAGACAGCGUAUCUCAGGAGACAGGUAUCACUCUGUUAUUGGAAAUAUUUCGGGGGAUCUCAAGCAUUAUCCAAGAUGAAAGUGUUAGCUCUUCUCUGUUUCCUUGUUGCUGUAACUUGUGUUUUUGGGAGAUGUGUACGUUAUUGCUGUCAGUAUGGACAUGUGGGCCUGCAAGCCAAUUGUGAAAAAUAUUGUAAUUAUUGUGGAGACUUUCCUGGAUUGAGAGUAGCCCAGCAUUAUAGAUUGGCAGUUAAGCGGAGCCUUCCGAGGACCAUUGCAGACAUACUUCGCCAUAAAAAGAAAUUUAAGCACCAUUAGAAAAAUGUUUUGAAAACUUGGAUUUACAAAAUACGACAGGACUUCAAUCUGAAUUGACCCCCAAGCGGCUUGAUUUUAUUUUUAAGAAUUAUAUGUUUUCAGUAAUAAAAAUAUAUUCUAUUGCAUAAUAAUGAAA